rnacentral:rRNA from 1 species
AUUGAACGCUGGCGGCAUGCCUUACACAUGCAAGUCGAACGGCAGCACGGGAGCAAUCCUGGUGGCGAGUGGCGAACGGGUGAGUAAAGUAUCGGAACGUGCCCAGUCGUGGGGGAUAACGUAGCGAAAGUUACGCUAAUACCGCAUACGAUCUAUGGAUGAAAGCGGGGGAUCGCAAGACAUCGCGCGAUUGGAGCGGCCGCGAUCAGAUGAGGUAGUUGGUGGGGUAAAGGCUCACCAAGCCGACGAUCUGUAGCCGGACUGAGAGGACGACCAGCCACACUGGGACUGAGACACGGCCCAGACUCCUACGGGAGGCAGCAGUGGGGAAUUUUGGACAAUGGGCGCAAGCCUGAUCCAGCCAUGCCGCGUGCAGGAUGAAGGCCUUCGGGUUGUAAACUGCUUUUGUACGGAACGAAAAGGUUUGACUUAAUACGUUGGACUCAUGACGGUACCGUAAGAAUAAGCACCGGCUAACUACGUGCCAGCAGCCGCAGUAACAC